rnacentral:rRNA from 1 species
UUAAAUUGAAGAGUUUGAUCAUGGCUCAGAUUGAACGCUGGCGGCAGGCUUAACACAUGCAAGUCGAACGGUAACAUGAGUGCUUGCACUUGAUGACGAGUGGCGGACGGGUGAGUAAAGUAUGGGGAUCUGCCGAAUGGAGGGGGACAACAGUUGGAAACGACUGCUAAUACCGCAUAAAGUUGAGAGACCAAAGCAUGGGACCUUCGGGCCAUGCGCCAUUUGAUGAACCCAUAUGGGAUUAGCUAGUAGGUGGGGUAAAGGCUCACCUAGGCGACGAUCUCUAGCUGGUCUGAGAGGAUGGCCAGCCACACUGGAACUGAGACACGGUCCAGACUCCUACGGGAGGCAGCAGUGGGGAAUAUUGCACAAUGGGGGGAACCCUGAUGCAGCCAUGCCGCGUGUAUGAAGAAGGCCUUCGGGUUGUAAAGUACUUUCGGUGAUGAGGAAGGUGUUGUAUCUAAUAGGUGCAACAAUUGACGUUAAUUACAGAAGAAGCACCGGCUAACUCCGUGCCAGCAGCCGCGGUAAUACGGAGGGUGCGAGCGUUAAUCGGAAUGACUGGGCGUAAAGGGCAUGUAGGCGGAUAAUUAAGUUAGGUGUGAAAGCCCUGGGCUCAACCUAGGAAUUGCACUUAAAACUGGUUAACUAGAGUAUUGUAGAGGAAGGUAGAAUUCCACGUGUAGCGGUGAAAUGCGUAGAGAUGUGGAGGAAUACCGGUGGCGAAGGCGGCCUUCUGGACAGAUACUGACGCUGAGAUGCGAAAGCGUGGGGAGCAAACAGGAUUAGAUACCCUGGUAGUCCACGCUGUAAACGAUGUCGAUUUGGAGUUUGUUGCCUAGAGUGAUGGGCUCCGAAGCUAACGCGAUAAAUCGACCGCCUGGGGAGUACGGCCGCAAGGUUAAAACUCAAAUGAAUUGACGGGGGCCCGCACAAGCGGUGGAGCAUGUGGUUUAAUUCGAUGCAACGCGAAGAACCUUACCUGGUCUUGACAUCCACAGAAUCCUGUAGAGAUAUGGGAGUGCCUUCGGGAACUGUGAGACAGGUGCUGCAUGGCUGUCGUCAGCUCGUGUUGUGAAAUGUUGGGUUAAGUCCCGCAACGAGCGCAACCCUUAUCCUUUGUUGCCAUCGGUUAGGCCGGGAACUCAAAGGAGACUGCCGUUGAU